rnacentral:rRNA from 1 species
CACGCCGUAAACGUUGGGCACUAGGUGUGGGAGGCUGUCAACGCCUUCCGUGCCGUAGCUAACGCAUUAAGUGCCCCGCCUGGGGAGUACGGCCGCAAGGCUAAAACUCAAAGGAAUUGACGGGGGCCCGCACAAGCGGCGGAGCAUGUUGCUUAAUUCGAUGCAACGCGAAGAACCUUACCUGGGUUUGACAUGUAGGGAAAAGCCAUAGAGAUAUGGUGUCCUUCGGGGCCCUACACAGGUGG